rnacentral:lncRNA from 1 species
GACUAGACUCAAAAAAUAAAGAUAAACCCCUUAUCUUCUUUCUUUUUUGAUGCUUUUUCUUUUUCUUUUCUGACUUUUGUUUUUGUUUUUCUUUGUUGUUGCUACAUGGGUUUGGUCAUGGUUGGUCUUUUUUUUUUAGGUUUUGUUUGUAAAAAAUGUUAUGUGUUAGGUGGUGUUAACAAAGCAAGGGUUUUGGUUUAGUUGAUAGUGGAGUGAGUGUAGUGAGAGCUUGUAAGUUUGGCAGUGGGCUUGGAGUGGCAAUGAGAGAGAUGAUGAUGGGUACAAUGAGAAAAUUUGGUGAUUCGGGAUUGAAGAUAAGAAAAGAUGAAUGGUGGCUAUGAAGGUGGUCUCGAGUUUUGGUGGUAGUGUUGAGGGGGUAAAUGUGGUGGUGGUUUUGGAGGCUUCGUUCUGUUUGAGAGAGGAUCCAAAAGUGUUGAUUGGUGAACGACGAUUGUGAAAAAAAGGAGAAUAAAGGACAAAGAAAAAAGGUAAUAAAAAAGGUAAAAUACAUGGAAAAAGAAAAAUUAGGUGGAUUGCUGACUGUGCAAUCUAUUAGAAGAAAAGAAAGAAAAUUAAU